CAACCCCACCCCUGGGGCCCCAAAGGGGCUGGGGGCUCCGGGGGCCCCCCUUGGCUUUUUUUGUGGCUGUUUUCCUUGUCCCUUCCCUGGCGGCGGGCGCCAGUGGGCAGGUGCGGGGUUCUGUGGCAGGUGGAAUUCAUACAGCAGUUACUUAGGGAGAUGGUCACAAGAAAAAAUACCUGAACAAGAUAACAACUAAGUCUAGGGCGCCCACAAAGACGGCAGAUGACGCUCAUGAAGGGACCUGGGACACAGUGGAGAAGAGAUAGAUGGGCCCAGGCCGGCCUCAGCUGGCCCUGGAGACUCUGCGGGGGGAGGGGCAGGUGGGCCUCGCUCUCAGGCUACAGUAAUAAUACUUUGCUCCCGGGUAGCACCUUCACAGUCCUCCUGCCUCAACCCCCAGGUCAGGUGACGGCAGCCUCACAACCUCCCCUAUGAGCCCUGCCCCGUCCUCACCCCAUACCACCCGCCUCCUCCUGUGUCGUCCCACCGGCCCCUGGUCCCACCACUUGCCACCCCUCCCCCGCCUCUGAAACCCAGAGGCCGGUGGUCAGUUGGGAACAGACCGUGCACCAAGACGCUCUCUGCAUGUGAUUGGUUAAUAGCUCCGUGGGUGGGGCUCGGAAGAAAGAGAUGCAGUUGCCCCGCCCACUCAUUGCAGACCUUCCACAGCACCCUCGGAUUGCUUCCACACAGCCUUCGGAGAUGCUGCCUCCCAGCUGCGGGCUGCUCCCCAGCCCGCCCAAAAAGGACCCCGCAGUUGGGGCAGGCCCUCCCUUUAAGCAAAGCUACAAUACAGAAAAAUUGGGAUUUACA